rnacentral:rRNA from 1 species
CUAGUAACGGCGAGUGAAGCGGGAAGAGCUCAAAUUUAAAAUCUGGCGGUCUAAGGCUGUCCGAGUUGUAAUCUAGAGAGGUGUUUUCCGUGCCGGACCGUGUACAAGUNCCCUUGGANACAGGGNCGUNCAUAGAGGGUGAGAAUCCCGUCCAUGACACGGANCUACCGNNGUGCUCUGUGAUACACCUUCAAAGAGUCGAGUUGUUUGGGAAUGCAGCUCAAAAUGGGUGGUAAAUUCCAUCUAAAGCUAAAUACAGGCGAGAGACCGAUAGCGAACAAGUACCGUGAGGGAAAGAUGAAAAGAACUUUGGAAAGAGAGUUAAACAGUACGUGAAAUUGUUGAAAGGGAAACGCUUGAAGUCAGUCGCGUCUGCCAGGACUCAGCCUUGCUUCNUGCUUGGUGCACUUCUUGGUGGAUGGGCCNAGCAUCGAUUUUGGUCGCCGGAAAAGGGCGGGAGGNAAUGUGGCAGCUUNNNNGCUGUGUUAUAGCCUCUCGUCGUANCACGGUGGCUGGGAUCGAGGACUGCAGCACGCCUUUNNGGUCNGGGGUUCGCCCNACGCCNANCGUGCUUAGGAUGCUGGCGUAAUGGCUUUAAACGACCCGUCUUGAAACACGGACCAAGGAGUCUAACAUGCCUGCGAGUGUUUGGGUGUUNAAACCCAGGCGCGUAAUGAAAGUGAAAAGUUGGGACUCUUUAGUNNNNNGAGGCACCGACGCCCNGAUCCUGAAGUUCUCUGACGGAUUUGAGGCAGAGCAUGUAUGUUGGGACCCGAAAGAUGGUGAACUAUGCCUGAAUAGGGUGAAGCCAGANGGAAACUCUGGUGGAGGCUCGUAGCGAUUCUGACGUGCAAAUCGAUCGUCAAAUUUNGGGUAUA